rnacentral:rRNA from 1 species
UCGUGGAGGACAGUGGCGGAAGGGUGAGUAACGCGUGGGUAACCUGCCCUCGAGUUGGGAAUAACCCGCCGAAAGGCGAGCUAAUACCGAAUGUGGUUUCCUGUCGCAUGGCGGGAAAACCAAAGGCGGGGAUCUCGACCGCGCAAGCGCGUCGGGACCUGCCGCUGGGGGAUGGGCCCGCGUGCCAUCAGCUUGUUGGUGAGGUAACGGCUCACCAAGGCUUACGGCUAGCUGGUCUGAGAGGAUGGUCAGCCACACUGGGACUGAGACACUGCCCAGACUCCUACGGGAGGCUGCAGUCGAGGAUCAUUCGCAAUGCGCGAAAGCGUGACGAUGCGACGCUGCGUGGAGGAUGACGGCCUUCGGGUUGUAAACUCCUGUCAUGAGGGAAAAGCCAGCCUGCUCUGAACAGGGGCGGGCUCCGAUGGUACCUCAAGAGGAAGCCACGGCUAACUCUGUGCCAGCAGCCGCGGUAAUACAGAGGUGGCGAGCGUUGUUCGGAUUUACUGGGCGUAAAGGGUGCGUAGGUGGUCUCGUAUGUCGGACGUGAAAGCCCACCGCUCAACGGUGGAAUUGCAUCCGAAACUGCGGGACUUGAGUGCAGGAAGGGAGAGCGGAAUUCUUGGUGUAGCGGUGAAAUGCGUUGAUAUCAAGAAGAACACCGGUGGCGAAGGCGGCUCUCUGAAUGUCACUGACACUGAGGCACGAAAGCUGGGGGAGCGAACAGGAUUAGAUACCCUGGUAGUCCCAGCUGUAAACGGUGUGCACUUGGUGUGGGGAGAUUUGACCCUCUCCGUGCCGGAGCUAACGCGUUAAGUGCACCGCCUGGGAAGUACGGCCGCAAGGCUAAAACUCAAAGAAACUGACGGGGGCCCGCACAAGCGGAGGAGCAUGUGGCUCAAUUCGAUGCAACGCGAAGAACCUUACCAGGGCUUGACAUGCAGCUCAAGUCCCGUGAAAGCGGGAUUCCUUCGAGGGUGCUGCACAGGUGCUGCAUGGCUGUCGUCAGUUCGUGCCGUGAGGUGUUGGGUUAAGUCCCGCAACGAACGCAACCCCUGUGUUUAGUUGCUACUCCCGCGUCUGCGGGAAGCACUCUAGACAGACUGCCCGUGCAAUCGGGAGGAAGGUGGGGACGACGUCAAGUCAGUAUGGCCCUUACGUCCUGGGCCGCACACGUGCUACAAUGGCUGGUACAGUGGGAUGCAAUGCCGCGAGGUGGAGCAAAUCCCCAAAACCGGCCCCAGUUCGGAUUGGAGUCUGCAACUCGACUCCAUGAAGUUGGAUUCGCUAGUAACGGCGUAUCAGCUACGGCGCCGUGAAUACGUUCCCGGGCCUUGUACACACCGCCCGUCACAUCAUGAAAGCCGUCU